AUACGUAGGUGACAAGCGUUAUCCGGAUUUACUGGGCGUAAAGGGCGUGUAGGCGGUCUUGCAAGUCAGAAGUGAAAUUCCUGAGCUCAACUCGGGCGCUGCUUCUGAAACUGCAGGACUUGAGUGCUGGAGGGGAUAGCGGAAUUCCUAGUGGAGCGGUAAAAUGCGCAGAUAUUAGGAAGAACGCCGGUGGCGAAGGCGGCUAUCUGGACAGUAACUGACGCUGAGGCGCGAAAGCGUGGGGAGCAAACAGGAUUAGAUACCCUGGUAGUCCACACUGUAAACGAUGAAUGCUAGGUGUAGGGGGUAUCGACCCCUUCUGUGCCGCAGUCAACACAAUAAGCAUUCCGCCUGGGGAGUACGGCCGCAAGGUUGAAACUCAAAUGAAUUGACGGGG
rnacentral:rRNA from 1 species